AUUGAACGCUGGCGGCAGGCCUAACACAUGCAAGUCGAGCGGAUGAAGGGAGCUUGCUCCUGGAUUCAGCGGCGGACGGGUGAGUAAUGCCUAGGAAUCUGCCUGGUAGUGGGGGAUAACGUCCGGAAACGGGCGCUAAUACCGCAUACGUCCUGAGGGAGAAAGUGGGGGAUCUUCGGACCUCACGCUAUCAGAUGAGCCUAGGUCGGAUUAGCUAGUUGGUGGGGUAAAGGCCUACCAAGGCGACGAUCCGUAACUGGUCUGAGAGGAUGAUCAGUCAAAAUAGAAAGGAGACAAGGUCCAGAAUCCUACGGGAGGCAGCAGGUGGGAAUAUUGGACAAUGGGCGAAAGCCUGAUCCAGCCAAGGCGUGGGUGUGAAGAAGGUCUUGGGGUUGGAAAGCACUUUAAGUUGGGAGGAAGGGCAGUAAGUUAAUACCUUGCUGUUUUGACGUUACAAACAGAAUAAGCACCGGCUAACUUCGUG
rnacentral:rRNA from 1 species